rnacentral:lncRNA from 1 species
UGCCACUUAUGAGUGAGAAAUACUGUGACAGGAAGCCGGAUAGAGGAGAUGAAGUGAGACCAGGUGUCACUGUGGUCUCUCCCUGCAGGUGGCCUCCUGCUGAGGCUGAUGUGCAGGAGAGCUCUGCUCAGGAGAAGUGGGAGGGUCUUCACAGCCGGCUGCUGGCUCUGGAGGAGAGCUGGCUGCUCCCUCCCUCUGAGGUGACAGACUCAUCUAUGAGGCGUAGUGAUGGAACAGCAGGAAGCAUAAUUGGCACACAAACCCUGAAAGAGCUCCAAACUCACAUCCUCCACCUGAGAGAGGUGGGACUCGCAGCGACGGAGCCUUUGGUUCAGGCCUCCCCUGAGGACGCCUCCCCUGAGGACGCCUCCCCUGAGGACGCCUCCCCUGAGGACGCCUCCCAUCAGACGCUGGACGAGCGUUUGUUUCAUGUGCUGCAUGGAGCGUCCCUGUCCCUGUCCUCCAUCAACCACCUGCUGCACUCGCCUGCUGGGACGACACAUGGAG